rnacentral:rRNA from 1 species
GUAAGGCCCUUCGGGGUACACGAGCGGCGAACGGGUGAGUAACACGUGGGUGAUCUGCCUCGCACUUCGGGAUAAGCCUGGGAAACUGGGUCUAAUACCGGAUAUGACCUGCUGUCGCAUGGCGGUGGGUGGAAAGAUUUAUCGGUGCGAGAUGGGCCCGCGGCCUAUCAGCUUGUUGGUGGGGUAAUGGCCUACCAAGGCGACGACGGGUAGCCGGCCUGAGAGGGCGACCGGCCACACUGGGACUGAGACACGGCCCAGACUCCUACGGGAGGCAGCAGUGGGGAAUAUUGCACAAUGGGCGAAAGCCUGAUGCAGCGACGCCGCGUGAGGGAUGACGGCCUUCGGGUUGUAAACCUCUUUCGACAGGGACGAAGCGCAAGUGACGGUACCUGUAGAAGAAGCACCGGCCAACUACGUGCCAGCAGCCGCGGUAAUACGUAGGGUGCGAGCGUUGUCCGGAAUUACUGGGCGUAAAGAGCUUGUAGGCGGUUUGUCGCGUCGUCCGUGAAAACUUGGGGCUCAACCCCAAGCUUGCGGGCGAUACGGGCAGACUUGAGUACUGCAGGGGAGACUGGAAUUCCUGGUGUAGCGGUGAAAUGCGCAGAUAUCAGGAGGAACACCGGUGGCGAAGGCGGGUCUCUGGGCAGUAACUGACGCUGAGAAGCGAAAGCGUGGGUAGCGAACAGGAUUAGAUACCCUGGUAGUCCACGCCGUAAACGGUGGGUACUAGGUGUGGGUUUCCUUCCACGGGAUCCGUGCCGUAGCUAACGCAUUAAGUACCCCGCCUGGGGAGUACGGCCGCAAGGCUAAAACUCAAAGGAAUUGACGGGGGCCCGCACAAGCGGCGGAGCAUGUGGAUUAAUUCGAUGCAACGCGAAGAACCUUACCUGGGUUUGACAUACACCGGAAACCUGCAGAGAUGUAGGCCCCCUUGUGGUCGGUGUACAGGUGGUGCAUGGCUGUCGUCAGCUCGUGUCGUGAGAUGUUGGGUUAAGUCCCGCAACGAGCGCAACCCUUAUCUUAUGUUGCCAGCGCGUAAUGGCGGGGACUCGUGAGAGACUGCCGGGGUCAACUCGGAGGAAGGUGGGGACGACGUCAAGUCAUCAUGCCCCUUAUGUCCAGGGCUUCACACAUGCUACAAUGGCCGGUACAGAGGGCUGCGAUACCGUGAGGUGGAGCGAAUCCCUUAAAGCCGGUCUCAGUUCGGAUCGGGGUCUGCAACUCGACCCCGUGAAGUUGGAGUCGCUAGUAAUCGCAGAUCAGCAACGCUGCGGUGAAUACGUUCCCGGGCCUUGUACACACCGCCCGUCACGUCAUGAAAGUCGGUAACACCCGAAGCCGGUGGCCUAACCCCUUGUGGGAGGGAGCCGUCGA